GGUUCCAUAGUGUAGCGGUUAGCAUGUCUGCUUUACAUGCAGAAGGUCCUGGGUUCGUGCCCCAGUGGAGCCA
rnacentral:tRNA from 1 species